rnacentral:rRNA from 1 species
GCUGUGAGCUCGAUGAGUAGGGCGGGACACGUGGUAUCCUGUCUGAAUAUGGGGGGACCAUCCUCCAAGGCUAAAUACUCCUGACUGACCGAUAGUGAACCAGUACCGUGAGGGAAAGGCGAAAAGAACCCCGGCGAGGGGAGUGAAAAAGAACCUGAAACCGUGUACGUACAAGCAGUGGGAGCACGCUUAGGCGUGUGACUGCGUACCUUUUGUAUAAUGGGUCAGCGACUUAUAUUCUGUAGCAAGGUUAACCGAAUAGGGGAGCCGAAGGGAAACCGAGUCUUAACUGGGCGUUAAGUUGCAGGGUAUAGACCCGAAACCCGGUGAUCUAGCCAUGGGCAGGUUGAAGGUUGGGUAACACUAACUGGAGGACCGAACCGACUAAUGUUGAAAAAUUAGCGGAUGACUUGUGGCUGGGGGUGAAAGGCCAAUCAAACCGGGAGAUAGCUGGUUCUCCCCGAAAGCUAUUUAGGUAGCGCCUCGUGAAUUCAUCUCCGGGGGUAGAGCACUGUUUCGGCAAGGGGGUCAUCCCGACUUACCAACCCGAUGCAAACUGCGAAUACCGGAGAAUGUUAUCACGGGAGACACACGGCGGGUGCUAACGUCCGUCGUGAAGAGGGAAACAACCCAGACCGCCAGCUAAGGUCCCAAAGUCAUGGUUAAGUGGGAAACGAUGUGGGAAGGCCCAGACAGCCAGGAUGUUGGCUUAGAAGCAGCCAUCAUUUAAAGAAAGCGUAAUAGCUCACUGGUCGAGUCGGCCUGCGCGGAAGAUGUAACGGGGCUAAACCAUG